AAAAAAAAUAAAUUAUUCACCGUAUUUCUAUUUUGUUGGUAUGUUGGUUAUUUAUGUGGAUUGUUAAGAGUUUUUGUUGAAUGUUUGAAUUGUUUGUAGGGAGGCUUUAGAACAUACGGUGAAUCAUUCAUUAUUUUUAAUAUUUAACCGUUGAGAUACGGUAAAUAAUUCAUGAUCUUUCAUUUGUUUCUACACGAUAAAUUCAUUAUUCUUUCAUUCCUCUUAAUUUUAG
rnacentral:lncRNA from 1 species